rnacentral:rRNA from 1 species
AUUGAACGCUGGCGGCAGGCCUAACACAUGCAAGUCGUACGAGUGGCGGACGGGUGAGUAAUGUCUGGGAAACUGCCCGAUGGAGGGGGAUAACUACUGGAAACGGUAGCUAAUACCGCAUACCAUCGGAUGUGCCCAGAUGGGAUUAGCUUGUAGGUGAGGUAACGGCUCACCUAGGCGAAGAGCCCUAGCUGGUCUGAGAGGAUGGCCAGCCACGAGGGGACUGCGACACGGUCCAGACGCCGACGGAAGGCAGAAGUGGGGAAUAGUGCACAAUGGGCGAAAGCCUGAUGCAGGCAGGCCGCGGGUAUGAAGAAGGCCUUCGGGUGGUAAAGUACUUUCAGCGGGGAGGCGUUACCCGCAGAAGAAGCACCGGCUAACUCCGUGCCAGCAGCCGCGGUAAUUC